GGGACCAGGAAUGACAUUAGAGUGGAGUUUUAUUGUGAAAGAUACAUGGCAGAGGAAGUAGAGUGGAGUGAGUAGGGGGCACUUGUUUGACUAAGUCACAGUGAUAAAGUUUGCGCAAACAAAUAUGUAGUUGACGUCUUAACAGUAUCGACAGUCUCAAUCAGAAUAUUGCCUCUACAUAUUAUUUGUGGGCAACAGGAGGUAUUUCUACCCGAAGUUCAUCAUACCGUCGUUCACUCGUUGUAUUAGCUUCGCGUGUGUAAUUAGCUCAUUAGCUUACGGUGUUUAUUUUGAGCAUUCAUUAGCAAAGUGAACGGACUGUUAGCCACAGCUAACCUAGCUUGCGCUGAAGGCUUCAGCUCGUCGUGAUCGACGUGGGAAACCUUGAGGAUUUGUGAGACUUUGUGCCAGAAGCUGCCCAGCUGACACCCGAGAGCUUCUUCUGCUUCGGCGGGUAGAGACCACACGACAUCUCUCUGGACAUCGGGUCCGACUCCUCGAUCGUCGAGGGACUGAGGCCGCGAGAGACCGGUGACGUCAUCAGCUGCCGAGGCCACCAGCUCCUGAGAUCCUUUUUACCGGAGGAUGAUUACGGGGGCCCAGGCGGUUUCCCAGAAGCCGCAGCAGCUACGUGGAUAGUGGCGAAGGUUGUGACACAUGGGAGCUGCUGAGUAACACUGCCUCCUGCUGCCAGGGCUCACGAGCUAACAGACCAUGAAGACACGCAGGCUUUCACAAUAUCAUAUCUUUCACUGGGGGGGAUGCGUCAUAAUCCCCAAACCCAUCGUGCAUCUAUAGAGUAAAGCAUUAUCACACCAUAUGCUCUGGAAACCAUUGUACCUUGCUUAUGCAGUCUACGUAC
rnacentral:lncRNA from 1 species